rnacentral:pre_miRNA from 1 species
AUCAUCUAGGGAUCUUGUUAUAAUGCAGAUUCUGAUUGAGCUGCUCUGGAGUGGGGCCAGGGUUCUGCUUUUCUAACAAGCUCUCAGGUGAUGCCCU